UCCGAGUUGACCCCGGCAGUCUCCUAUGAGUCCCCGCCAUCACGCGCUGGCAACAUAGAACGAGGGUUGCGCUCGUUGCGGGACUUAACCCAACAUGUCACCACACGAGCUGACGACAGCCAUGCAGCACCUGUCUCUCGGCAGUAUUGCUACUGAAACUGUAUUUCUACAGCGGUCCGAGGAUGUCAAACCCAGGUAAGGUUUUGCGCGUUGCUUCGAAUUAAACCACAUGAUCCACCGCUUGUGCGGGCCCCCGUCAAUUCCUUUGAGUUUUAGUCUUGCGACCGUACUUCCCAGGCGGGGUACUUAUUGCGUUAGCUCCGGCUCCACAGGGGUCAAUUCCCAUAAAGCCUAGUACCCAUCGUUUACGGCAUGGACUAC
rnacentral:misc_RNA from 1 species